UACGUAGGUGGCAAGCGUUGUCCGGAAUUAUUGGGCGUAAAGCGCGCGCAGGUGGUUUCUUAAGUCUGAUGUGAAAGCCCACGGCUCAACCGUGGAGGGUCAUUGGAAACUGGGGAACUUGAGUGCAGAAGAGGAAAGUGGAAUUCCAAGUGUAGCGGUGAAAUGCGUAGAGAUCAGGAAGAACACCCGUGGCGAAGGCGGCCCACUGGGCCGGUGCUGACGCUGAGGCGCGAAGGCGUGGGGAGCGAACGGG
rnacentral:rRNA from 1 species